UAGCCUGAACCAGCCAAGUAGCGUGAAGGAUGAAGGCUCUAUGGGUCGUAAACUUCUUUUAUAUAAGAAUAAAGUGCAGUAUGUAUACUGUUUUGUAUGUAUUAUAUGAAUAAGGAUCGGCUAACUCCGUGCCAGCAGCCGCGGUAAUACGGAGGAUCCGAGCGUUAUCCGGAUUUAUUGGGUUUAAAGGGAGCGUAGGUGGACUGGUAAGUCAGUUGUGAAAGUUUGCGGCUCAACCGUAAAAUUGCAGUUGAUACUGUCAGUCUUGAGUACAGUAGAGGUGGGCGGAAUUCGUGGUGUAGCGGUGAAAUGCUUAGAUAUCACGAAGAACUCCGAUUGCGAAGGCAGCUCACUGGACUGCAACUGACACUGAUGCUCGAAAGUGUGGGUAUCAAACAGGAUUAGAUACCCUGGUAGUCCACACAGUAAACGAUGAAUACUCGCUGUUUGCGAUAUACAGUAAGCGGCCAAGCGAAAGCAUUAAGUAUUCCACCUGGGGAGUACGCCGGCAACGGUGAAACUCAAAGGAAUUGACGGGGGCCCGCACAAGCGGAGGAACAUGUGGUUUAAUUCGAUGAUACGCGAGGAACCUUACCCGGGCUUAAAUUGCAGUGGAAUGAUGUGGAAACAUGUCAGUGAGCAAUCACCGCUGUGAAGGUGCUGCAUGGUUGUCGUCAGCUCGUGCCGUGAGGUGUCGGCUUAAGUGCCAUAACGAGCGCAACCCUUAUCUUUAGUUACUAACAGGUUAUGCUGAGGACUCUAGAGAGACUGCCGUCGUAAGAUGUGAGGAAGGUGGGGAUGACGUCAAAUCAGCACGGCCCUUACGUCCGGGGCUACACACGUGUUACAAUGGGGGGUACAGAAGGCAGCUAGCGGGUGACCGUAUGCUAAUCCCAAAAUCCUCUCUCAGUUCGGAUCGAAGUCUGCAACCCGACUUCGUGAAGCUGGAUUCGCUAGUAAUCGCGCAUCAGCCACGGCGCGGUGAAUACGUUCCCGGGCCUUGUACACACCGCCCGUCAAGCCAUGGGAGCCGGGGGUACCUGAAGUACGUAACCGCAAGGAUCGUCCUAGGGUAAAACUGGUGACUGGGGCUAAGUCGUAACAAGGUAGCCGUACCGGAAGGUGCGGCUGGAACACCUCCUUU
rnacentral:rRNA from 1 species